AUUGAACGCUGGCGGCAGGCCUAACACAUGCAAGUCGAACGGUAACAGGAAGCAGCUUGCUGCUUCGCUGACGAGUGGCGGACGGGUGAGUAAUGUCUGGGAAGCUGCCUGAUGGAGGGGGAUAACUACUGGAAACGGUAGCUAAUACCGCAUAAUGUCGCAAGACCAAAGAGGGGGACCUUCGGGCCUCUUGCCAUCGGAUGUGCCCAGAUGGGAUUAGCUUGUUGGUGGGGUAACGGCUCACCAAGGCGACGAUCCCUAGCUGGUCUGAGAGGAUGACCAGCCACACUGGAACUGAGACACGGUCCAGACUCCUACGGGAGGCAGCAGUGGGGAAUAUUGCACAAUGGGCGCAAGCCUGAUGCAGCCAUGCCGCGUGUAUGAAGAAGGCCUUCGGGUUGUAAAGUACUUUCAGCGGGGAGGAAGGGAGUAAAGUUAAUACCUUUGCUCAUUGACGUUACCCGCAGAAGAAACACCGGCUAACUCCGU
rnacentral:rRNA from 1 species